GACGAACGCUGGCGGCGUGCCUAACACAUGCAAGUCGAACGAGAUCCAUGGGAGCUUGCUCCCGGAAGAUCUAGUGGCGAACGGGUGAGUAACACGUGAGAAACCUGCCCUGGAGUGGGGAAUAACUCAGGGAAACUCGAGCUAAUACCGCAUACCCUCGGAUGGUCGCAUGGCCGACCGAGGAAAGAUUUAUCGCUCUAGGAGGGUCUCGCGGCCUAUCAGCUAGUUGGUGGGGUAACGGCCUACCAAGGCAACGACGGGUAGCUGGUUUGAGAGAACGAUCAGCCACACUGGGACUGAGACACGGCCCAGACUCCUACGGGAGGCAGCAGUGGGGAAUCUUGCGCAAUGGGCGAAAGCCUGACGCAGCAACGCCGCGUGCGGGAUGACGGCCUUCGUGGUUGUAAACCGCUUUCAGCAGGGCGAAAAUGACGGUACCUGCAGAAGAAGCCCCGGCUAACUACGUGCCAGCAGCCGCGG
rnacentral:rRNA from 1 species